AUUGCCAGAGGCGGCUGUUUACCUGGCACUGCUGCCCCUGGAAAGUGUCACCCCAAGCACCUGCUUGAUUUGCUGGCGCCUAGAGCCGCCUUGUUCCGGGAAGCAGGAAGCAGCUCAGGAGCAACAACGGCUCUUGGGUUUCCCAUGCUGAGGACCUGUUUUAUUUAGCUAGAUAUUUACGUUUUGAGAACUUCUUGUAAAGAAAGAGGCAUCUAAAUACACUUCACUCUGUGAAAGGGCAUAGAAGAAGCAGGAGCCUCAAUCCAUCUCCCAAAGGAGAUGGAUGCAAGAACAAACAAAGGCACCCUGGGCCCAAAGGUCCUUGGGGGUCCGGAGUUCCUCCUGCUUCUCCCAGUACUCUCCGCAGAGGGGCGGAUCCUCGGGACCGGGGGCCAGCUGCCUCUCUAGCUCUAAAACCUCCCGUUCCAACUGUUCUAUCGCUGCAUCCCUCCGCCGGCUGACCCCUCUCCCCCGGGUGUAGUCACGGCAGAAGAGCCAUAUGUUCAUCUUCCCUACAUCCCACCACUGCUGCGCCAAGGGAAAGGCACACUGCCGCCCGCACCAGGCCAGCCAGAACUCCCGGAAGGAUGCUGCAAAGCCCACAUCCUCCAGCAGGCUGUUAUUGAAAUGCGAGUAGGCCGGCCCCGGCCUCUCUGAGGAAAGAGAGGCCAUCAUGGCCACCAAGUGAUGGUCCGUGAAAGGGGCUGGCCGAAUGCUGGAGGAGAGGGCCCGGAAGAAAUGAUGGGAAGAUAAAUGCGGUACCACCGGGAGUGGAAAGACCAAUGACCCACCAUCUGGACGUAGGUAAACACCAUUUCCUCGCCCAGGUAAAGGUCUUGCCAGACAUUCACCAGGGAGUUAUGGUCUAUUAUCUCCCUGAGGACGUCCAUGGCGGCCAGGCACUGCUUGAGCCCCGUACGGUCCCGCUCCUUGAGGGUGCAGUUGAAGUCCCUGCCCAGGACCAGGCACUCGCGAGGAUCCAAGGAGCCGAGGAAGGCAGACGCCCGCUGAUAGAAGCAUAGCCUCUCCGGGCUGGACGUCGGGGCAUAGAUGUUAAUGAGAUUUAAAGUCAGCCCCUCCAUCCAAACCCGGAUAUGCCGCAGGCGACCCUGCACAGCCUCGGCAAUCUCAAGUACCUCGGGCUGCAGGUUCGGGGAGAACAGGGUGCCAUCCCGUCUUGAUGGGCCAACAGGUGGCUAAAAUAAACCCUGUCCCCCCACUCCAGCUGCCAGCUAGCUCCGGGGCCAGAGUCAUAUGGGUUUCCUGUAGGAACAUGACAGAGUACCCCCCCCAAAUGAAGGAGAGUACCCGACACCUACGGAGACCUGACCCGCAGCCCUGGGUGUUUAGAGUGGUAAGGAUGAAUGGCGGCAUCGAGAGGGUGGGGGAAGAUCUUCGCUGGCAGGAGUGUUAGUAGUCCCCAUUGGGCCCCUCAGCAAAACUUUGACUGUACCCAAAAGUGAGCAGGUUUUCAUGGAAGCUGCGGACCCGCUGGUAAGCUGUAGCCUCACACCACCUGGUCCCUUUACCCUCCCCCAAGAGGGCCCUUACUGUUCGU